rnacentral:rRNA from 1 species
GAUGAACGCUGGCGGUAUGCUUUACACAUGCAAGUCGUACGGGAGUUUUUAACUCUAGUGGCGGACGGGUGAGUAACACGUAAGAAUUUGCCUUUAGGAGGGGGACAACAGCUGGAAACGGCUGCUAAUACCCCAUAUGCUUUCGAGUGAAAUGGAUUUCCGCCUAAAAAGAAGCUUGCGGCUGAUUAGCUUGUUGGUGAGGUAAUGGCUCACCAAGGCGACGAUCAGUAUCUGGUUUGAGAGGACGAUCAGACACACUGGAACUGAGACACGGUCCAGACUCCUACGGGAGGCAGCAGUGGGGAAUUUUCCGCAAUGGGCGCAAGCCUGACGGAGCAAUACCGCGUGAGGGAUGAAGGCCUAUGGGUUGUAAACCUCUUUUUUUAGGGAGGAACAAAAUGACGUGUACCUAAAGAAUAAGCAUCGGCUAACUCCGUGCCAGCAGCCGCGGUAAGACGGGGGAUGCAAGUGUUAUCCGGAAUCACUGGGCGUAAAGCGUCUGUAGGUGGUUAAGUAAGUCAACUGUUAAAUCUUGAGGCUUAACCUCAAAAUCGCAGUCGAAACUGUUUGACUAG